UGCCAUGCAAUCCCUGCUACUGGGCCGC
rnacentral:piRNA from 1 species